rnacentral:rRNA from 1 species
UACGGAGGGUGCAAGCGUUGUUCGGAAUCAUUGGGCGUAAAGCGCGUGUAGGCGGCUUGGCAAGUCGGUUGUGAAAGCCCGGGGCCCAACCCCGGAACUGCAUCUGAAACUGCCUGGCUAGAGUCCCGGAGAGGAAGGCAGAAUUCCCGGUGUAGGGGUGAAAUCCGUAGAUAUCAGGAAGAACACCCGUGGCGAAAGCGGCUCUCUGGGACGGUACUGACGCUGAGACGCGAAAGCGUGGGGAGCGAACAGG